rnacentral:rRNA from 1 species
AGUGAACGCUGGCGGUAGGCCUAACACAUGCAAGUCGAACGGCAGCACAGUAAGAGCUUGCUCUUACGGGUGGCGAGUGGCGGACGGGUGAGGAAUACAUCGGAAUCUACUUUUUCGUGGGGGAUAACGUAGGGAAACUUACGCUAAUACCGCAUACGACCUACGGGUGAAAGCAGGGGAUCUUCGGACCUUGCGCGAUUGAAUGAGCCGAUGUCGGAUUAGCUAGUUGGCGGGGUAAAGGCCCACCAAGGCGACGAUCCGUAGCUGGUCUGAGAGGAUGAUCAGCCACACUGGGACUGAGACACGGUCCAGACUCCUACGGGAGGCAGCAGUGGGGAAUAUUGGACAAUGGGCGCAAGCCUGAUCCAGCCAUACCGCGUGGGUGAAGAAGGCCUUCGGGUUGUAAAGCCCUUUUGUUGGGAGAGAAAAGCAGCAGGUUAAUACCCCGCUGUUCUGACGGUACCCAAAGAAUAAGCACCGGCUAACUUCGUG